GCGUAAGAGCUCGUAGGUCGUUUGUUACGUCGGAUGUGAAAACCUGAGGCUCAACCUCAGGCCUGCAUUCGAUACGGGCAAACUAGAGUUUGGUAGGGGAGACUGGAAUUCCUGGUGUAGCGGUGGAAUGCGCAGAUAUCAGGAGGAACACCAAUGGCGAAGGCAGGUCUCUGGGCCAAUACUGACACUGAGGAGCGAAAGUCUGGGGAGCGAACAGGAUUAGAUACCCUGGUAGUCCAGACCGUAAACGGUGGGCACUAGUUGUGGGAACCUUCCACGGUUUCUGCGACGCAGCUAACGCAUUAAGUGCCCCGCCUGGGGAGUACGAUCGCAAGAUUAAAACUCAAAGGAAUUGACGGGGCCCCGCACAAGCAGCGGAGCAUGCGGCUUAAUUCGACGCAACGCGAAGAACCUUACCAAGGCUUGACAUAUAGGGAAAAGUGGCAGAGAUGUCAUGUCCGCAAGGGCUCUAUACAGGUGGUGCAUGGUUGUCGUCAGCUCGUGUCGUGAGAUGUUGGGUUAAGUCCCGCAACGAGCGCAACCCUCGUUCUGUGUUGCCAGCAUUUAGUUGGGGACUCACAGGAGACUGCCGGGGUUAACUCGGAGGAAGGUGGGGAUGACGUCAAAUCAUCAUGCCCCUUAUGUCUUGGGCUGCACGCAUGCUACAAUGGCCGGUACAGAGGGCUGCAAUACCGUAAG
rnacentral:rRNA from 1 species